CGGGCUGUCCCUAAAUCUCUUGAAUUUUUUUUAAAAAACUGAAACGCACUACCGAUACCUGCACGUAUUCCAAAAAACCCCCAAAUAAGACCCAGGGUCCCUUUUCAGCCAAUAUCUGAAUUCUGGCACGGCGGCUUCGCCGUGCUCCGGCGAUGGCACUAUCGCCUGCGGCGACGAUCUGUCUCGGGUUGGCCAUUUUCGGUCGAAUUCGGCCAAACCUGCAUUGGUUCCUGCGAUAAGACAACCCUAGGGCCAUCGGUGAGCCAAAAAAUAACGAAAAACUGAUACUUACCGGCGGCGAAGCUCUCGGGUGCGGCGGCUUCUCUGGCGCGAGUCGCGAAUUGAUGUUUUGCUCUGGUCAACCUGUAGAGAAAAGGACGGUGAUCACAAUAAUGUAAAAAUUGCAUCGAACGGGAACCAGAAAGGGCCUCAUCGGAGGCAAAAAUCGAGGGAAGCCGCGGCGGUGCC
rnacentral:lncRNA from 1 species